UACGAAGGGGGCUAGCGUUGCUCGGAAUCACUGGGCGUAAAGGGUGCGUAGGCGGGUCUUUAAGUCAGGGGUGAAAUCCUGGAGCUCAACUCCAGAACUGCCUUUGAUACUGAGGAUCUUGAGUUCGGGAGAGGUGAGUGGAACUGCGAGUGUAGAGGUGAAAUUCGUAAAUAUUCGCAAGAACGCCAGUGGCGAAGGCGACUACCUGGCCUGUUCUUGACGCUGAGGCGCGAAAGCUAGGGGAGCAAACGGG
rnacentral:rRNA from 1 species